CAAUAGCGUAUAUUAAAGUUGUUGCAGUUAAAAAGCUCGUAGUUGGAUUUGCGGCUGUCACGGGCGGCCUAUCACUUAGUGUUAGUGCUUGCCUGUGUCGCCAUCCUUGGGUGGAGCCCGUGUGGCAUUAGGUUGUCGUGCGGGGGAUGCCCAUCGUUUACUGUGAGAAAAUUAGAGUGUUCAAAGCAGGCUUAUGCCGUUGAAUAUGUUAGCAUGGAAUAAUAAGAUAGGACCUCGGUACUAUUUUGUUGGUUUGCGCACCGAGGUAAUGAUUAAUAGGGACAGUUGGGGGUAUUCGUAUUUCAUUCUCAGAGGUGAAAUUCUUGGAUUUCUGAAAGACGAACUACUGCGAAAGCAUUUACCAAGGAUGUUUUCAUUAA
rnacentral:rRNA from 1 species